GAUCGGUGUUAUUCUUUUUCACCGUUUUUGUUAGAGACCUCAAGAUUCCAUAUAUUGUAUCGUAUCGGCUCGACCAUCUUCACCGCCUCUUUAUCGACUUCACCUUCUUUCUGCUUCUCGCAAUCCUCAUAUUCUUUGGAAAAAUCCGGUCGGCAUCACUACCACACCACCAACAUUCUAUAGUAUCUCCACGACUAUAUGUCGCUGGGUGGAUGGGUUUGUAAAAGGCAAAAGUGAAUCAAGUUUUCUCGCCGUUAGUAGUUCCUCCACGUUUUCUUCGCUUCUCUCGCAACACCGUCUAAUUCUUCUUCUUCUCAAUCAGUUGACAGGAUAACCACCGCUACCAAAAAAGCCCUAAGCUCAUCGACAGUGGAAGAAACGACGAUGUCUUACCGUUUGUCCAUGAAAUUCGCAACACGUUUCGUGGUUUGGCUUGACUUUCAUUCAACAUCAAAAUCGUUCUUUCAACACACACAAUACCGCCUUCCUUUAGUAUCCUCUUGCUUCCAAUCAAAUAACAGAUCGAUAGAGGCAAAAAGAAAGGAAAAGGUCGCUUGACCCGGACCCUGCCUCCUCACCGUCGAUUAUAGCUGUGCACCCUCCUAUGGUGCUAGGGCUCUAAUGGGACGACCGGUGUUACCGUGUUAUGAUCAAUCGAUGAUUGCCUCCAAAAUUUUAGUCACAAUUUCUCAGUCAGUGGCGUAGAUACGAGCAUGUUAACGUGAAAAUAUGCUCGAUUCGUAUAGCAGAGGGAGAACAAGAGGUUCCUAAUUGAUAACUCUUACUUUAUACCUACAACAAAGGGCACCAUAAUUUCGGGGCAACUGAGUAAACUUCGGCCACUUCAUCUCCUUUAUGCUCGAUUGAGAAAAACACAAGCCCAUUUCUAUGGCUACUAACCUCAACUUCUUCUCCUACAUUUAACUACAUGGAUUUAACUACAUGGAUGGAUCCCUGCUUCGCUUAUAUUUUUCAAGUAAACCAAGCCCAAGAGUACUAACCUACUUUUUAAAUAUAUUUUUAAAACAAUAGUUGCUUUAAGUAAAAUUAGUGUCAAGACUUUUGUAUUUGUUAUCUUUAAUAUAUUUUAAAAACAAUAAUUGCUUUGACUAAUUUCAUGUGGGUUCUGUGGAUUGGUUUUCAUUUACGUGUUUCUGAUGACCAUUUGGUAUAAUCCUGUUGGCUUUUGCAUAGGUUUAAUGGCACUACCUAUGCCUUUGUGCAACUACCACCAUUUCCGUUAGCACUACCUUCGUUGAAAAUCACAGGUGGUUCAAUGGCAAGGUACUAACUGGACCUAAAUCACUGCAGACUGCUUAAUUUCUGAUUUUACCCUUAUCUACCACUCGGGAAGCAAAGAGUGGAGGAGCUUGAAUUUAUAUUUGUUAUCUCACUGUCUUAUCCUAAUCAUCUAAUAGCUUAUUAGAUUCUUUUCAUUUAUGUAUAUCUAAUAGCUUAUUAGAUUCUUUUCAUUUAUGUAUACGUUAUUAGACUACAGUUUGUUAUUUGUCUAUUGUUUUUCUAUUAUAAAUUGUAGGUCCAGCAAUAGGUUAUUGAAAUUGUCACCCAUAUAGCUUUUACAACAUCAAAGUUGGCAAAAAAAUGUUUCCUACUUUGCAUAUCAGGUAAUUUUUAAAUUGUAAUUCUAAUUUCAUGUAUGUGAAUGAUAUAUAAUAAUGGAUAUUUGUUCUUUUUCUUAUAAAAAUAUUAUAACGCUGGUUCGAUAUUUGAAGGGCUACAUCAUCCAAAAUCUAACCAAAAUAUAAUAUUUCCUAAUAUGCCCUUCCUUCCUUGAUUUGUAUCUGUAAUGUCAAUUACUAACUUUUGAAGGUAUCUGUAAUUUGGAAUCAUUUCAUGCAGCCGAUUCAAAGUUUGACCAAAAUAUCCUUAUUAAGGAGUGUGCGGUAUCAUAGAAGUGUGUUACUAACUUCUAAUUCAUUUUUUUUUUUUGUUAUUAAUGAUGUGUAAUUUCUUUGUUUCCCAAUAACCACAUGUACUAUUCUAAUUGAUUUGUUUAUCAAUUGCUUAAAUUUUUAUUUUUUUACUUGAGCAUUUUCAUAGGUCUGGCAUUGUAUUUUUUGUAAAGUUUGUUGCUAUUUCCUGUUACUUAUUGGGACCCUGGAUCAACAGAAAGGGCUUGUGAAGACCCCAACCCUAUGAUGGAUUGAGGAAGAGGUAACUGUAAUAUCGCAUCUAUUGGUCGUUCUUGAGCUUCUCCUCAAGGAAGGAAUCAACAUGGGAAUAUUGCAUUUCAAGGGACAAAUACAAUGGGCCAAGGUGCAUCAUCAUAUUACAGUGGUGUAGCACCACCACUUGCUCCUCCUCCGCCACCUCCACCACCACCUUCUGUCAUGUACCCACCGUAUGGGUGACUUUUUCUUACACUUUGUGAAGUUUAGGUGAAAAAGUGAAGUUAAAAAAAAAACAUUUAUAAAUUGAUAAAGAAAGUUGGUCUUGACAGAGGAUAAGUGGGUAAUGGGGGAAUACAUAUACAUAUAUGUUGUUGAAUUUUUUAUAAUUACUUGUGUUCCUUGCUUUAUUGCCAAGUUGGUUGCCAUUGCAGGUUACAUAAAACUGCAGACAACCUUCAGCUUUUUCAGAUUUAAAUGGUCUCAAUUAACUCUUUAUAUUAAUUAUAUAAACUCAUCAAUUAGUAAUUUUUUAAUGAAAAAAAGAUCGAUAUAAUUCGCUAUAAAAAUAGGAAAAUAUGUUCGGUUGUUUUUAAUUUAGGUUUUUGAAUCUACACUUCUUGGUUAAACUGUUUGUUUGAUUUACCAAGUUCUUUUCCUAUAUUAGUUAGUAUAUAAUGUCAGCUAAUUUAGUUAUUUCAUUUAUUUAAUGAGCUUUUUAUCAAGGAAUUUAUACUAAAAUCCGUCUAAAUGUGAUUGUAAAAGAAGUUGUUAAUUUGGCCAUUUGGGUCAUAAUGAUUUCUUCUACUUGGUAUUGAGCUUUGAAAAAUCUAUCUAAUUAUAACAUUGUACUUUUAAAUAUUUUUCUAAUUAAAACACUGCAGUCGAACGCAAAAAGGGAAGAAAGUUUCCCUUUUUUGCAUGAAGUCAUAAAGAAACAGAAAAAAGGAAAGUAUGUUGCUUUUUAACACGAUAAAAUAAAUCAUUUUUCAUAUUUACAGUAUGGCUGUUGUCUGAAGUGCUUUCUGCUGUUUUGUCCAUUUUACCCCUGCUUGGUAAAAACUUUAUACAAAAUAAUCCUUUUGUGAUGUUCAGAUUUUGGUAUUCUUCUCAAUCUAUGAUGAUAUCAGUUACCAUCAUGGACUUUUUAGGCAACCAAAACCACCUAAUCUGGUAUUAUCCACGUGCAUUUUUUGCAUAAUUUUUUUUUUGUCUAAAUCGUUUUAAUAUAUUAAUUGCUGUAAUAUUUUUUGUCCAUAAUGUAAUAAGAUUUCUCUAUGAAGAAAGUGUAUGGAGGGUGUUGGAUUGAUACAAUAAGUCUGACACUAUCCAAAAUGAUCUUAAAAUUAGUCUUUAUUUUCUGAUUUAUUUUACUUAAAUGAUGUUACGGAUUCCAUAAAUAUAAGCCAUUUCUCAUGAGGUUGGAGUCGUUAAAGAAGAUAGUAAAGGCUGGAAUUUGUCCCACCAUCUCCUGGACAUAGAAAAACUUAGGAAGAAGAAAUACUCACGGAUUGAAGGCUAUGCAGGACAUUAAAUGCACAUGUUAGCAAUGAACUUUCAUUCAUUAGUUUAGACUACUUUUAGAGUUCGUUUAUUAGGAUAUUGUAAUCCUAGGGUUAUUGGUGCUGUAUUGUAACUACAACUGGUGGAUUGACAUUAAGCAGUCUGCAGUGAUUUAGGGAUUGGUUGGUAUGGACAAUUUCAGAUUCUAAUACCCCUCCCGACCCAUUCUUUUUAAGUACUUAUUACUCUUGCCAAUUAAUAUCAAGAAACACGUUUAGUC